ACCCUCUAGAUUCCUUACUCCUCAGAUCGAAACAUUGUUCUGAGUGUGGACAAAAGGAGGACAAGUAAACUGAAGUGGACUUAGCGUCCUCGACGUCAUACACGU
rnacentral:snoRNA from 1 species